rnacentral:rRNA from 1 species
UUGAACGCUGGCGGCAGGCCUAACACAUGCAAGUCGAGCGGUAGCACAGAGAGCUUGCUCUCGGGUGACGAGCGGCGGACGGGUGAGUAAUGUCUGGGAAACUGCCUGAUGGAGGGGGAUAACUACUGGAAACGGUAGCUAAUACCGCAUAACGUCGCAAGACCAAAGUGGGGGACCUUCGGGCCUCAUGCCAUCAGAUGUGCCCAGAUGGGAUUAGCUAGUAGGUGGGGUAACGGCUCACCUAGGCGACGAUCCCUAGCUGGUCUGAGAGGAUGACCAGCCACACUGGAACUGAGACACGGUCCAGACUCCUACGGGAGGCAGCAGUGGGGAAUAUUGCACAAUGGGCGCAAGCCUGAUGCAGCCAUGCCGCGUGUGUGAAGAAGGCCUUCGGGUUGUAAAGCACUUUCAGCGGGGAGGAAGGCGGUGAGGUUAAUAACCUCAUCGAUUGACGUUACCCGCAGAAGAAGCACCGGCUAACUCCGUGCCAGCAGCCGCGGUAAUACGGAGGGUGCAAGCGUUAAUCGGAAUUACUGGGCGUAAAGCGCACGCAGGCGGUCUGUCAAGUCGGAUGUGAAAUCCCCGGGCUCAACCUGGGAACUGCAUUCGAAACUGGCAGGCUAGAGUCUUGUAGAGGGGGGUAGAAUUCCAGGUGUAGCGGUGAAAUGCGUAGAGAUCUGGAGGAAUACCGGUGGCGAAGGCGGCCCCCUGGACAAAGACUGACGCUCAGGUGCGAAAGCGUGGGGAGCAAACAGGAUUAGAUACCCUGGUAGUCCACGCCGUAAACGAUGUCGAUUUGGAGGUUGUGCCCUUGAGGCGUGGCUUCCGGAGCUAACGCGUUAAAUCGACCGCCUGGGGAGUACGGCCGCAAGGUUAAAACUCAAAUGAAUUGACGGGGGCCCGCACAAGCGGUGGAGCAUGUGGUUUAAUUCGAUGCAACGCGAAGAACCUUACCUGGUCUUGACAUCCACAGAACUUUCCAGAGAUGGAUUGGUGCCUUCGGGUACUGUGAGACAGGUGCUGCAUGGCUGUCGUCAGCUCGUGUUGUGAAAUGUUGGGUUAAGUCCCGCAACGAGCGCAACCCUUAUCCUUUGUUGCCAGCGGUUAGGCCGGGAACUCAAAGGAGACUGCCAGUGAUAAACUGGAGGAAGGUGGGGAUGACGUCAAGUCAUCAUGGCCCUUACGACCAGGGCUACACACGUGCUACAAUGGCAUAUACAAAGAGAAGCGACCUCGCGAGAGCAAGCGGACCUCAUAAAGUAUGUCGUAGUCCGGAUUGGAGUCUGCAACUCGACUCCAUGAAGUCGGAAUCGCUAGUAAUCGUAGAUCAGAAUGCUACGGUGAAUACGUUCCCGGGCCUUGUACACACCGCCCGUCACACCAUGGGAGUGGGUUGCAAAAGAAGUAGGUAGCUUAACCUUCGGGAGGGCGCUUACCACUUUGUGAUUCAUGACUGGGGUG